UAUAUUUGCACACAUUUUACAUAAAAAUUAUUUAAACAAUAUUGGCAUG
rfam:Flavobacteriaceae bacterium TMED204 7432, whole genome shotgun sequence.